GGGGAUCUUACUAGGUCCGGACCGAGUUUAUGAUUGUCGUGCCGUGGGGCAUUACACGAUUACUGGAUGAGUGGUGCAUGGCCGUUCUUAGUUCGUGGUGUUAAUUGUCUACUUAAUUGUUUCUAGUUCCCGUAUCUCUCGGUGCGGAACUAUUAACGAACGAGAUCGAGACCCGUGGUUGCGUUGAGUGGUACAUCGUACACUACGGGGAUCGCGUAAUACUCCACGGUACGAUUGAAAGACUCGGCAAUAACAGGUCUGUGAUGCCCUCAGAUGUUCUAGGCUGCACACGUGCUACAUUGUG
rnacentral:rRNA from 1 species